UACGUAGGGGGCAAGCGUUGUCCGGAAUUAUUGGGCGUAAAGAGCGUGUAGGCGGCCCGGUAAGUCCGCUGUGAAAGUCGGGGGCUCAACCCUCGAAUGCCGGUGGAAACUGGCAGGCUAGAGUGCGGGAGAGGAGAAUGGAAUUCCUGGUGUAGCGGUGAAAUGCGCAGAUAUCAGGAAGAACACCCGUGGCGAAGGCGGUUCUCUGGAACGCAACUGACGCUGAGACGCGAAAGCGUGGGGAGCAAACAGG
rnacentral:rRNA from 1 species